rnacentral:lncRNA from 1 species
AUAUAGAGAGAGAGAGAGAGAGAGAGAGAGAGAGAGAGAGCCCGGCUACUAUACUUUUAUGAGUAUUAGCUCUCUUAUACUCAUAAGUUUUUAGCCCUUAGAUUUAUUCCAUUGAGCAUUUCCAUCCGUUAGAUUAUACUAUUCAACCAACUAACCACUCAACCCUAGGGGAUCACUAUCAUUCUAAAUGGGGACCACCAUCAUCCUAACCACACAUUCCAUCA